GACGAACGCUGGCGGCGUGCUUAACACAUGCAAGUCGAACGGAAAGACCCUGCUUUUGUGGGGUUCUCGAGUGGCGAACGGGUGAGUAACACAUGAGUAACCUGCCCUUGAAUUUGGGAUAAUUUCACGAAACUGGGGCUAAUACCGGAUAGGAGCUCCUGCUGCGUGGUGUGGGUUGGAAAGUUUCGGCGGUUGGGGAUGGACUCGCGGCUUAUCAGCUUGUUGGUGGGGUAGUUGCUUACCAAGCCUUUGAAGGCUAGCCGGCAUGAGAGGGUGACCGGCCACAUUGGUACUGAGAUACGGCCCAGACUCCUACGGGAGGCAGCAGGGGGGAAUAUUGCACAAUGGGCGGAAGCCUGAUGCAGCAACGCCGCGUGCGUGAUGACGGCCUUCGGGGUGUAAACCGCUUUCGCCUGUGACGAAGAGGGAUUGACGGUAAUGGGUAAAGAAGCAACGGCUAACUACGUG
rnacentral:rRNA from 1 species